rnacentral:lncRNA from 1 species
GCCGGAGGGAGGGAGACAACAAGGAGAGAGGGGUGUGAGAUGGCGGGGAGGGAACACGCACAAGCCAAGCCGUGGGAUGUGGAGGGUGCGGGCGGGGCGCGGGGCAGGCUCAGCUGCCCUCAGAGUCUGGGCUGGGGAGAGCCGGGGCCCACGAGGCGUGGCAAGGCGGGGAGAGAGAAGCUAGACCUCCCUGCUGCGCUUCUGCAGCGAAAAUGGAGAGACCCGGAAGGCGUGUGUGCGCCCGCCUCUCCCACAGGAGGGAGCGCGGAGACCCGGGAGCGGCCUAGGACCGGAGGCGCGACCCCUCGGCCCACCUUGAGGCCCGGCCUAGGACCGGAGGCGCGACCCCUGGGCCCACCUUGAGGCCCGGCCUAGGACUGGAGGCGCGACCCCUCGGCCCACCUUGCGGGAGCCGCCUAGGACCGGAGGCGCGACCCCUCGGCCCAGCUUGAGGCCCGGCCUAGGACCGGAGGCGCGACCCCUCGGCCCACCUUGCGGGAGCCGCCUAGGACCGGAGGCGCGACCCCUCGGCCCACCUUGAGGCCCGGCCUAGGACCGGAGGCGCGACCCCUGGGCCCACCUUGAGGCCCGGCCUAGGACUGGAGGCGCGACCCCUCGGCCCACCUUACGGGAGCCGCCUAGGGCCGGAGGCGCGACCCCUCGGCCCAGCUUGAGGCCCGGCCUAGGACCGGAGGCGCGACCCCUCGGCCCACCUUGAGGCCCGGCCUAGGACUGGAGGCGCGACCCCUCGGCCCACCUUGAGGCCCGGCCUAGGACCGGAGGCGCGACCCCUGGGCCCACCUUGAGGCCCGGCCUAGGACUGGAGGCGCGACCCCUCGGCCCACCUUGAGGCCCGGCCUAGGACCGGAGGCGCGACCCCUGGGCCCACCUGGCGGCCCGGCCGGCACAGCCCGCCUCUCCUCUCCAGGCCAGGGCCCCACACCUUCCGCCUGACAGCCAGCCAAGCUCUUCAGUCCCCCGCCCUCCACCUGCCAGGGAGGCUCCGGGCGUUGUACCUGCCACCACGGGACGGAGUUUUGCUCUUGUUGCCCAAGCUGGAGUGCAAUGGUGCGAUCUUCGCUUACUGCAACCUCUGCUUCCUGGGUUCAAGUGAUUCCCCUGCCUCAGCCUCCCGAGUAGCAGGGAUUACAGGUGCGUGCUACCAUGCCAGGCUAAUUUUUUGUAUCUUUAGUAGAGACAGGAGUUUCACCAUGUUGGCCAGGCUAGUCUUAAACUCCUGACCUCAUGAUCUGCCUGGCUUGACCUCCCAAAGUGUUGGGAUUACAGGCAUGAGCCGUUGCACCUGGCCAGGGUGUGUCUUAUUGAAAUUGAACAAAAUACCUAAUUUCUAGAGCGUAUAAGAGAAGUUUAAAAUGCUUUAUGGAUGUGUUGUUUUGACAGCAAAAUAUCUACUCAGAAUCCUAUAGCUAUUUCAAAAUCCAAGUAACUUAG